rnacentral:rRNA from 1 species
AUUGAACGCUGGCGGAAUGCUUUACACAUGCAAGUCGAACGGCAGCACGGGGGCAACCCUGGUGGCGAGUGGCGAACGGGUGAGUAAUACAUCGGAACGUGCCCAGUCGUGGGGGAUAACGUAGCGAAAGUUACGCUAAUACAGCAUACGAUCUACGGAUGAAAGCGGGGGACCGUAAGGCCUCGCGCGAUUGGAGCGGCCGAUGGCAGAUUAGGUAGUUGGUGGGGUAAAGGCUCACCAAGCCGACGAUCUGUAGCUGGGCUGAGAGGACGACCAGCCACACGGGGACGGAGACACGGCCCAGACUCCUACGGGAGGCAGCAGUGGGGAAUUUUGGACAAUGGGCGCAAGCCUGAUCCAGCCAUUCCGCGUGCAGGACGAAGGCCUUCGGGUUGUAAACUGCUUUUGUACGGAACGAAAAGGCUCUGGUUAAUACCUGGGGCUCAUGACGGUACCGUAAGAAUAAGCACCGGCUAACUACGUGCCAGCCGCCGCAGUAA